rnacentral:rRNA from 1 species
UACGGAGGGAGCAAGCGUUGUUCGGAUUUACUGGGCGUAAAGGGCGCGUAGGCGGUCAGCACAAGUCAGUUGUGAAAUCUCCGGGCUUAACUCGGAAAGGUCAACUGAUACUGUGCGACUAGAGUGCGGAAGGGGCAACUGGAAUUCUUGGUGUAGCGGUGAAAUGCGUAGAUAUCAAGAGGAACACCUGCGGCGAAGGCGGGUUGCUGGGCCGACACUGACGCUGAGGCGCGAAAGCCAGGGGAGCGAACGGG